rfam:Pelobacter propionicus DSM 2379, complete genome.
AAAGUCCCUGUCGGAGAAGGAUUAGCCAUCCGCUCCGUAUCGAGUCUUGCGCCUGUGGCGGAGUCGUGAAGUAUGCGGCGAACAAGACAGGUGAAGCAUAGACAGAGAAUCUUGCAGGCCGUAGGGGAGUCCGCGCUCCCUGAAGUGCUGGUACAGCUUCGAAAGAGGGAUGUUGCGGAUGCCGAGGACUUAACGGGCUCCGAAGGUAACACGAUUUCAUCCGUAAUAGGCGAGGAUGGAUAGAUCCGCCGGAGUCCACAGGCCA